rnacentral:rRNA from 4 species
GGGUUGUGAGGUUAAGCGACUAAGCGUACACGGUGGAUGCCCUGGCAGUCAGAGGCGAUGAAGGGCGUGCUAAUCUGCGAUAAGCGCCGGUAAGGUGAUAUGAACCGUUAUAACCGGCGAUACCCGAAUGGGGAAACCCAGUGUGACUCGUCACACUAUCAUUAACUGAAUCCAUAGGUUAAUGAGGCGAACCGGGGGAACUGAAACAUCUAAGUACCCCGAGGAAAAGAAAUCAACCGAGAUUCCCCCAGUAGCGGCGAGCGAACGGGGAGGAGCCCAGAGCCUGAAUCAGCAUGUGUGUUAGUGGAAGCGUCUGGAAAGGCGCGCGAUACAGGGUGACAGCCCCGUACACAAAAGCGCAUGUGCUGUGAGCUCGAUGAGUAGGGCGGGACACGUGGUAUCCUGUCUGAAUAUGGGGGGACCAUCCUCCAAGGCUAAAUACUCCUGACUGACCGAUAGUGAACCAGUACCGUGAGGGAAAGGCGAAAAGAACCCCGGCGAGGGGAGUGAAAAAGAACCUGAAACCGUGUACGUACAAGCAGUGGGAGCACAGGUUUACCUGUGUGACUGCGUACCUUUUGUAUAAUGGGUCAGCGACUUAUAUUCUGUAGCAAGGUUAACCGAAUAGGGGAGCCGGAGGGAAACCGAGUCUUAAUUGGGCGUUAAGUUGCAGGGUAUAGACCCGAAACCCGGUGAUCUAGCCAUGGGCAGGUUGAAGGUUGGGUAACACUAACUGGAGGACCGAACCGACUAAUGUUGAAAAAUUAGCGGAUGACCUGUGGCUGGGGGUGAAAGGCCAAUCAAACCGGGAGAUAGCUGGUUCUCCCCGAAAGCUAUUUAGGUAGCGCCUCGUGAAUUCAUCUCCGGGGGUAGAGCACUGUUUCGGCUAGGGGGCCAUCCCGGCUUACCAACCCGAUGCAAACUGCGAAUACCGGAGAAUGUUAUCACGGGAGACACACGGCGGGUGCUAACGUCCGUCGUGAAGAGGGAAACAACCCAGACCGCCAGCUAAGGUCCCAAAGUCAUGGUUAAGUGGGAAACGAUGUGGGAAGGCCCAGACAGCCAGGAUGUUGGCUUAGAAGCAGCCAUCAUUUAAAGAAAGCGUAAUAGCUCACUGGUCGAGUCGGCCUGCGCGGAAGAUGUAACGGGGCUAAACCAUGCACCGAAGCUGCGGCAGCGACACUGUGUGUUGUUGGGUAGGGGAGCGUUCUGUAAGCCUGUGAAGGUGUGUCGUGAGGCAUGCUGGAGGUAUCAGAAGUGCGAAUGCUGACAUAAGUAACGAUAAAGCGGGUGAAAAGCCCGCUCGCCGGAAGACCAAGGGUUCCUGUCCAACGUUAAUCGGGGCAGGGUGAGUCGACCCCUAAGGCGAGGCCGAAAGGCGUAGUCGAUGGGAAACGGGUUAAUAUUCCCGUACUUGGUGUUACUGCGAAGGGGGGACGGAGAAGGCUAUGUUGGCCGGGCGACGGUUGUCCCGGUUUAAGCGUGUAGGUGUGUGUUCCAGGUAAAUCCGGUUCACUUUAACACUGAGGCGUGACGACGAGGCACUACGGUGCUGAAGCAACAAAUGCCCUGCUUCCAGGAAAAGCCUCUAAGCAUCAGGUAACAUCAAAUCGUACCCCAAACCGACACAGGUGGUCAGGUAGAGAAUACCAAGGCGCUUGAGAGAACUCGGGUGAAGGAACUAGGCAAAAUGGUGCCGUAACUUCGGGAGAAGGCACGCUGACACGUAGGUGAAGUGAUUUACUCAUGGAGCUGAAGUCAGUCGAAGAUACCAGCUGGCUGCAACUGUUUAUUAAAAACACAGCACUGUGCAAACACGAAAGUGGACGUAUACGGUGUGACGCCUGCCCGGUGCCGGAAGGUUAAUUGAUGGGGUCAGCGCAAGCGAAGCUCCUGAUCGAAGCCCCGGUAAACGGCGGCCGUAACUAUAACGGUCCUAAGGUAGCGAAAUUCCUUGUCGGGUAAGUUCCGACCUGCACGAAUGGCGUAAUGAUGGCCAGGCUGUCUCCACCCGAGACUCAGUGAAAUUGAACUCGCUGUGAAGAUGCAGUGUACCCGCGGCAAGACGGAAAGACCCCGUGAACCUUUACUAUAGCUUGACACUGAACAUUGAGCCUUGAUGUGUAGGAUAGGUGGGAGGCUUUGAAGUGUGGACGCCAGUCUGCAUGGAGCCGACCUUGAAAUACCACCCUUUAAUGUUUGAUGUUCUAACGUGGACCCGUUACCCGGGUUGCGGACAGUGUCUGGUGGGUAGUUUGACUGGGGCGGUCUCCUCCUAAAGAGUAACGGAGGAGCACGAAGGUUGGCUAAUCCUGGUCGGACAUCAGGAGGUUAGUGCAAUGGCAUAAGCCAGCUUGACUGCGAGCGUGACGGCGCGAGCAGGUGCGAAAGCAGGUCAUAGUGAUCCGGUGGUUCUGAAUGGAAGGGCCAUCGCUCAACGGAUAAAAGGUACUCCGGGGAUAACAGGCUGAUACCGCCCAAGAGUUCAUAUCGACGGCGGUGUUUGGCACCUCGAUGUCGGCUCAUCACAUCCUGGGGCUGAAGUAGGUCCCAAGGGUAUGGCUGUUCGCCAUUUAAAGUGGUACGCGAGCUGGGUUUAGAACGUCGUGAGACAGUUCGGUCCCUAUCUGCCGUGGGCGCUGGAGAACUGAGGGGGGCUGCUCCUAGUACGAGAGGACCGGAGUGGACGCAUCACUGGUGUUCGGGUUGUCAUGCCAAUGGCACUGCCCGGUAGCUAAAUGCGGAAGAGAUAAGUGCUGAAAGCAUCUAAGCACGAAACUUGCCCCGAG